UACGGAGGGUGCAAACGUUGCUCGGAAUCAUUGGGCGUAAAGGGCGCGUAGGCGGCCUUCUAAGUCGAACGUGAAAUCCCCGGGCUCAACCCGGGAACUGCGUCCGAUACUGGAAGGCUUGAAUCCGGGAGAGGGAUGCGGAAUUCCAGGUGUAGCGGUGAAAUGCGUAGAUAUCUGGAGGAACACCGGUGGCGAAGGCGGCAUCCUGGACUGGUUCUGACGCUCAUGAGCGAAAGCGUGGGGAGCAACAGGG
rnacentral:rRNA from 1 species